CAUCUCACUCUCGUUCGAGCUGCAGAUUAGUGUAGAAGUGUCGCGAGCUUGUCCGAGUCGAAUAUCCGUUGAAUAACAAAAGUUGUCUUCAGAAUAGGGCUUUACAAAGUGUGUGCGUUUAAGAAAAGAAACAGCCCCGGCUAUAUCUACUUGCUAGCGACGCUUUCCUGCUUUUCGACGCGAAGAGUACGGCUUCUUGCAGCCAUCAGAAGCCGGCGGCCCGCCAACACGCCGCUAUCCCAUCGCAGUGGUCAUCAAUAGCCACAACGUGGCCAGACUCAGCCGACGGCCCCCCGCGAAAGUCUUCAUCCACGUGGAAGCGCGACUAAACCGGCAUCUAGUCCCUCCCUGCCGCGCAACGUACCAGGAGCGCAUACAUCACAGCAGCACAUCGUCAAAUUACUGCAGCUAAUCGGUGAGUCGCCUAUUCCAAUCGAUCUUUUUUGUGGAGUGGGGCGUCCGGUGAGGACGCCUCGGAGGAAGUUUUUUGCCGACCAUAGGUCGAGGAAUCACGACAGAUGGACAAUCGUCCCGACGUCCAAUAACCAUUUCGGUUGAGCGGGAGUAAAAUCAAAACGUGUACACGUAGUUUUCGGAACACCCCCAACCCUAUUGUGUAAGCCACCCGGGUGCAUGGCUAGCUAGAUCGGUCGCCGCAUCGUCGAUUGAAGAAUGUGAAUGGAGUAUAGCACAAGCAGAGAAGAAAACGAAUAGAAACGCACAGAAAAGCACUAGAGUAGGUUAGAGGUAGAAAGGUUGUACGUACACCACGAAAUAGAAGCAUGCUAUUAUAAUAAAUCUCCUUGUUUUUGGCCAUGAUUUUCCCUAAAUAAAUGUUG